CCUUUUUGUUAUCAUCAAAAAGAUACAUGGGAAAAAAUGCAAUAAAUGAUAAACUUCAAACUUCAUUGAUCAAAAUAGGAAUCAUUUUCAUACAUUCAGACCAAAAACAAAAGCAGAUACAAUGUUCCUUAAUCAAAGUUUAAAGAUGCAUGAUAAACACAAAAUACAUAUGAGAACUAGAUACAUAUCCUAGGCUCUAAACAAGAUCAUGAGACUCUCCCGGAUCGCUUGGCUACGACUCUCUUAGGUCCCAUUUCUCCAAGAUCUUGAAGUAAUCUACUGUUUGGAGAUGAUUGGAGAAGAUUUGAGAGUGGGGAAUAGGGUUUUCAGAAGAGGACAAGGGCAAACAGUGCCCUAGAUAGCUCACGGGUCCCCCUUUUAACAGUGGGAUCCCGACGUUGGGUCGACUCAAGAAACUUCUUGGGUCGACUCAACGUUGGGUCGACCCUAUUCUGGGUUGGGUUGACCCAAGUGCAGAAUUUUUCUUUUCUCUUUCUUUUUGCUUCAAAAAAAUUUUCCUUGCUUCCAAUCCUUAUAAAUUCUUUCUGGGACAAUGAUACAUGAGUAAGGAAUCUAUAGAUAACAA
rnacentral:lncRNA from 1 species